UGAAUCUCCAGCCGAUGGCUGUCCGGGCAUGCUGGGAGUUGUAGUUUUGGAACAUCUGGAGGAUGGAAUAAGUCUAGAAUGCCUUAUCAUACCUUGCUUGGCAGCUUGCAUCCACUCCACCUUGCUUCUCAGUGGAGAAAGCCUGUCCUAUCUUUUCAUCUGUGCUCGGCCGGAUCAACUCCAUUAUGCUUCAUGAAAACCAUGCUAUACAGGAAAACACUAAGCGAGUAUGGAAUCCUGAUGAUUUAGGGAGUGGAACAUUGCAGUCUCCAUGUAGCCCUAGCCUAAAUGGCUUGUUUAUGCGAAAUAUAAACAAAGGAAAAUUUGGCAGAAACUAAAAGCUUAUGGUAACAAUUGGAGUAAACAUAAAAAAAUGAAGAAUCUUUAUUUUACUUUGGUGAGCAAUAUUGAGAGUGACCAGUAAACAAUGAUUUGGAUUUUUUACCUUACGUUGGGAGCCGGAAGUCUAUCCUCAUUUUCCGUGAUUGAUCCACCUGAGGACCCAGCCUCAGCGUUUGUUCUCGAUCUUCCACUAGGAAAGGUUGUGCUGGAUAUCUGGACAUUUGGAGUAUAUGUUUAUUAGCCACGAAUGUCCAAAAAAAAAGAACUUCAAAGAGAGGGGCAGAGGUUCCUUCCACCUCAACCAGUGUUUUAAGGGAGGAAAGUGUUGCUGAAGGUCAUGUAAUGGAGGAGGAUGAGGAAUCCGUGAAAGCAGAGUCUCCAUCAUAUUUGAGGAGUGGUUUAGCUUGCCACAGGCCUGGCAAAAAGAAAAACUUUAGUGAUCGAGAGACGGAGGUUUUAGUUGUAGAGCUGAUCAUCCUCCCACAGACAAGCCACUUGUUAAUGUUUCAGAGGCCAGAGUUCAGACUGAGGAAACCCAAGGACAGGAGGAAAUAAUUGAAACUCCCAUUGCGCCAGAAGAUGUGGAUAAUGAUGUCAGCCUUGGAUUAAGUGCACCACAAUUCCAGUAUAUCAAUGUAUGUGCAGAGAGAGAAAUCAAAUAUCCAUGGACACAUUAAAUAUCACAAUGAAAAAUAUAGAAAAGUGUCCAACUGUAAUGUCCAAUGAAUUAGUUCAGGUGUUGGAUAUAAUAAACCAAGGUGAUGUA